rnacentral:rRNA from 1 species
GACGAACGCUGGCGGCGUGCUUAACACAUGCAAGUCGAACGGAAAGGCCCUGCUUUUGUGGGGUGCUCGAGUGGCGAACGGGUGAGUAACACGUGAGUAACCUGCCCUUGACUUUGGGAUAACUUCAGGAAACUGGGGCUAAUACCGGAUAGGAGCUCCUGCUGCAUGGUGGGGGUUGGAAAGUUUCGGCGGUUGGGGAUGGACUCGCGGCUUAUCAGCUUGUUGGUGGGGUAGUGGCUUACCAAGGCUUUGACGGGUAGCCGACCUGAGAGGGUGACCGGCCACAUUGGGACUGAGAUACGGCCCAGACUCCUACGGGAGGCAGCAGUGGGGAAUAUUGCACAAUGGGCGGAAGCCUGAUGCAGCAACGCCGCGUGCGGGAUGACGGCCUUCGGGUUGUAAACCGCUUUCGCCUGUGACGAAGCGUGAGUGACGGUAAUGGGUAAAGAAGCACCGGCUAACUGCGUG